UAUAGGAAUUGAGCAGCACGAGUCAAAUCCGAUCAGUGUUUGAGCAGACCACCAUCUGUCUGCAAAACAGAAUCAAGUUCUUCCAGGAACACUUGUACUUCUAGGUACAGUUUUGAAGGAUGCUUGGUAGGAUGGUAGGAUGGUUGUUCCAAGCACCUUGGAGAACUAACCCCAGAUCUACUGUGGAUAAUAAAUUUGGGGCAGAUCAGCCGCCUCCUUGAUGGUGCUGCAUAUUGGAGAAGUAUCUACUAAACCUGCAGGAAACCCCACCAAACCAGACACUGAUUAUUACACUGCUCUGGUGUGGGUCAUGUCUGGAAACCAAGUGUAAAGUCCAUCAGCUGGUGGGGAAAAGCAGGAGGUUCUUUGGCACUUGUGGAGAACAUGAGCAGGCAGAAGAAGCCUGGAGCUCUGAUUACAGAUCAGAGCACCAUUCUUCUGCACCCAGUCCCUCUGUUUUUCUGCAGAGUUGAGACACUGAGGUUGGGCUUUUGGUCUGCAGUUCUUCUAUAAAGAUCACAUCUGGCCAGACAACAGCUGGGUGUACCUGGGAAGUAUGAAUGAUUGGUCUUUCAGUUUCCUGACCUCUGCGUCUGUGCUCCUCAAAAUCAGCUAUUUUGAAGAAGCACAAAGAAAGAGGUGAAGAGCAGAUCCUGAAAGCUCAGUCUGCUCUGAGAUCCUGCUGAUGCAGAAGACCUGCCCUGGGUCUUUGUUGCUGUGCUCAGUUCUGCCCUGAUGAGCGGCGUGUUUCUGACCCACUGUGGACACCGUAUAUCACACAGUGGGUGUGGUUUACGUGUAACCUCAUGAAAAUCUUUUUCUAUCCCACCUGUAUUCAUCCAAACCCCGCCCACCGCUCCAUGAUUGGAUACUCACACAGCGCUCUCUGAUUGGACAGCGGUGGCGUUUCGCGAAACAUUUAAAAUAAGUACUAAUACAAAUGUUUAUUAAAUAUUAUUGUAAUAUUUUAUAUAUUUGCCUGAUUUUGAGAAUAUAAAACCAAAAGCUUUAAACGUAUAUUCCUUGUAAAAACAGUAAUUUUAUUGUGUUUACAUUGUAAUUGUGCCUUUUUUUUUACUUUAUUUGUAAUUAAUAAUCAGGAGUUGAAUAUCAUUAAUAAACACUUUCCCCCACACAGUUAAAACAAUUUUCAUAGUUCAGAGCGUGAUUUUAGCUUCUUUCAGCUUUCCAGAAAAUAAUAAUUAAAUGGAAAUACACUUAUAAAUCUUUAUAAACCAGUGUGGGACGAGUUUCAGAAUGGACCAGUGUUGAACGAACACACACACACACACACACACACACACACACACACACACACACACAC